CGUGUGUAUUCUUCUUCAAAUUGAAUCUGCGUUGUUUCUCUCAAUCCCAAGUUGAUAGACAGUUGUUGAGAAGAGAAACUCAAUUAUAGCAUUCCUUGGUCUUUUGUUCCUCGCCUUCUUUGCCAACCAUCUUACUUCAUUUUGUCAAUUGUCAAUAGUUCUAUUCAAUCUCACCCACUAUAGUAGAGCUUUCCAUACAUAUUUAGAAUAUCCUCUGUAAAAUAACUGGUGGUCAUGAGAUUCAGCCACUGUACUUUCACAUAAAACACAUGCCUAGGCAUAGGUCCAUGAAGCAGUACCAGAGUUUUCCACUCCACCUUUAGAUAUUUAGGAAGCAUCAUCCCAUAGGCAGUUUUGAUGCUAAACUUCCCCUCUUCACUGUAUUGCUGCAAUGCAUUUAGAACAUUUGGUGCAUUUGUAGAUGAUAUACAUUCCUUAGCAGCAAGUAUCUUUCUAAUGAUCCUACUAGCCUGUUUAGGAAGCUCAAUGUCUUCUAAGUUUCUGUUCUUGAUAUAGUAACAAUGUAUCCAUAGAACCCACAAUGUGACUACGGGACAUAAAAGUAAGUGCGGCUUUGUUUUAGG